rnacentral:rRNA from 1 species
GACGAAGGGGGCUAGCGUUGUUCGGAAUUACUGGGCGUAAAGCGUGCGCAGGCGGUUUUGUAAGCCAGAUGUGAAAGCCCCGGGCUUAACCUGGGAAUGGCAUUUGGGACUGCAAGGCUUGAGUGCGGCAGAGGAGACUGGAAUUCCUGGUGUAGCAGUGAAAUGCGUAGAUAUCAGGAGGAAUACCGAUGGCGAAGGCAGGUCUCUGGGCUGACACUGACGCUCAUGCACGAAAGCGUGGGGAGCAAACAGG